rnacentral:rRNA from 1 species
UGGGGAAUCUUGCGCAAUGGGCGACAGCCUGACGCAGCAACGCCGCGUGAGGGAAGAAGGCUUUCGGGUCGUAAACCUCUUUCAGGAGGGACGAAGCUUCGGGAGUGAAUAGCUCUCCGGAGUGACGGUACUUCCACAAGAAGCCCCGGCUAACUACGUGCCAGCAGCCGCGGUAAUACGUAGGGGGCUAGCGUUGUCCGGAAUCAUUGGGCGUAAAGAGCGCGUAGGCGGCCAGAUAAGUCCGGUGUGAAAGUCACAGGCUCAACCUGUGAAUGCCGCUGGAAACUGUCUGGCUAGAGUCCGGGAGGGGCGAGUGGAAUUCCUGGUGUAGCGGUGAAAUGCGCAGAUAUCAGGAGGAACACCAAUGGCGAAGGCAGCUCGCUGGAACGGUACUGACGCUGAGGCGCGAAAGCGUGGGGAGCAAACAG